rnacentral:rRNA from 1 species
GACGAACGCUGGCGGCGUGCCUAAUACAUGCAAGUAGAACGCUGAAGGAGGAGCUUGCUCUUCUGGAUGAGUUGCGAACGGGUGAGUAACGCGUAGGUAACCUGCCUGGUAGCGGGGGAUAACUAUUGGAAACGAUAGCUAAUACCGCAUAAUAGUAGAUGUUGCAUGAUAUUUACUUAAAAGGUGCAAUUGCACCACUACCAGAUGGACCUGCGUUGUAUUAGCUAGUUGGUGGGGUAACGGCUCACCAAGGCGACGAUACAUAGCCGACCUGAGAGGGUGAUCGGCCACACUGGGACUGAGACACGGCCCAGGCUCCUACGGGAGGCAGCAGUAGGGAAUCUUCGGCAAUGGACGAAAGUCUGACCGAGCAACGCCGAGUGAGUGAAGAAGGUUUUCGGAUCGUAAAGCUCUGUUGUAAGAGAAGAACGAGUGUGAGAGUGGAAAGUUCACACUGUGACGGUAUCUUACCAGAAAGGGACGGCUAACUACGUG